GACGAACGCUGGCGGCGUGCCUAAUACAUGCAAGUCGAACGCUGAAGAGAGGAGCUUGCUCUUCUUGGAUGAGUUGCGAACGGGUGAGUAACGCGUAGGUAACCUGCCUGGUAGCGGGGGAUAACUAUUGGAAACGAUAGCUAAUACCGCAUAAAAUUGAUUAUUGCAUGAUAAUUAAUUGAAAGAUGCAACUGCAUCACUACCAGAUGGACCUGCGUUGUAUUAGCUAGUUGGUGAGGUAACGGCUCACCAAGGCGACGAUACAUAGCCGACCUGAGAGGGUGAUCGGCCACACUGGGACUGAGACACGGCCCAGACUCCUACGGGAGGCAGCAGUAGGGAAUCUUCGGCAAUGGGGGGAACCCUGACCGAGCAACGCCGCGUGAGUGAAGAAGGUUGUCGGAUCGUAAAGCUCUGUUGUAAGAGAAGAACGGGUGUGAGAGUGGAAAGUUCACACUGUGACGGUAGCUUACCAGAAAGGGACGGCUAACUACGUG
rnacentral:rRNA from 1 species